rnacentral:rRNA from 1 species
GAGGGUGAAAGCGGGGGAUGGAGACGGCCUCCGCGAUGGGAGCGGCUGAUGUCCGAUUAGCUAGUUGGUGGGGUAAAGGCCUACCAAGGCUGCGAUCGGUAGCGGGUCUGAGAGGAUGAUCCGCCACACUGGGACUGAGACACGGCCCAGACUCCUACGGGAGGCAGCAGUGGGGAAUUUUGGACAAUGGGGGCAACCCUGAUCCAGCCAUGCCGCGUGAGUGAAGAAGGCCUUCGGGUUGUAAAGCUCUUUCGGCCGGGAAGAAAUCGGGUGGGUGAAUAGCUCAUCUGGAUGACGGUACCGGAAGAAGAAGCACCGGCUAACUACGUGCCAGCAGCCGCGGUAAUACGUAGGGUGCGAGCGUUAAUCGGAAUUACUGGGCGUAAAGGGUGCGCAGGCGGCUGCUCAAGACAGCUGUGAAAUCCCCGGGCUCAACCUGGGAAUUUGCGGUUGUGACUGAGUGGCUGGAGUACGGCAGAGGGGAAGGUGGAAUUCCACGUGUAGCAGUGAAAUGCGUAGAGAAUGUGGAGGAACACCGAUGGCGAAAGCAGCCUCCUGGGCCAGUACUGACGCUCAUGCACGAAGCGUGGGAGCAACAGGAUUAGAUACCCUGCUAGUC